rnacentral:rRNA from 1 species
CACUCCUACGGGAGGCAGCAGUGGGGAAUAUUGGACAAUGGGCGCAAGCCUGAUCCAGCCAUGCCGCGUGAGUGAUGAAGGCCCUAGGGUUGUAAAGCUCUUUCACCGGUGAAGAUAAUGACGGUAACCGGAGAAGAAGCCCCGGCUAACUUCGUGCCAGCAGCCGCGGUAAUACGAAGGGGGCUAGCGUUGUUCGGAUUUACUGGGCGUAAAGCGCACGUAGGCGGACUAUUAAGUCAGGGGUGAAAUCCCGGGGCUCAACCCCGGAACUGCUUUUGAUACUGGUAGUCUUGAGUUCGAGAGAGGUGAGUGGAAUUCCGAGUGUAGAGGUGAAAUUCGUUGAUAUUCGGAGGAACACCAGUGGCGAAGGCGGCUCACUGGCUCGAUACUGACGCUGAGGUGCGAAAGCGUGGGGAGCAAACAGGAUUAGAAACCCGGGUAGUCCC